AGGCAUGAUGUGGGCAAGAACUUAAAAGACCCUUGAACCUUUCCAAGCAUUAUCAAAUGGUUUCUUCCUCGUUCUGCGAGAAGUUCCUAAUGUCCAUUCUAAGGGU